rnacentral:misc_RNA from 1 species
GUCUGCUACCUCUUACCCAUGUCUUUUGAGUACCUUCGUUUCCUCGGCGGGUCCGCCCGCCGGUUGGACAACAUUCAAACCCUUUGCAGUUGCAAUCAGCGUCUGAAAAAACUUAAUAGUUACAACUUUCAACAACGGAUCUCUUGGUUCUGGCAUCGAUGAAGAACGCA